rnacentral:misc_RNA from 1 species
GAUGAAGAACGUAGCGAAAUGCGAUAAGUAAUGCGAAUUGCAGAAUUCAGUGAAUCAUCGAAUCUUUGAACGCACAUUGCGCCCGCCAGUAUUCUGGCGGGCAUGCCUGUUCGAGCGUCAUUUCAACCAUCAAGCCUCAGGCUUGUGUUGGAGCCCUGCGGCUGCCGCAGCCUCCCAAAACCAGUGGCGGGCUCGCUAUCACACCGAGUGCAGUAGUUUACUCUUCGCUCAGGGCGUGUGGCGGGUGCUAGCCGUGAAACCCCCAACUUCUCAAGGUUGACCUCGGAUCAGGUAGGAAUACCCGCUGAACUUAAGCAUAUCAAUAAGCGGAGGA